CUAGCAGUAUCAGAGUUUGAUCCUGGCUCAGGAUGAACGCUGGCGGCGUGCUUAACACAUGCAAGUCGAACGAAGCAGUUUAUUUAGAUCCCUUCGGGGUGACGAAUUUAUUGACUGAGUGGCGGACGGGUGAGUAACGCGUGGGUAACCUGCCUUGCACAGGGGGAUAACAGUUAGAAAUGACUGCUAAUACCGCAUAACCCGCUAGUACCGCAUGGUACAGACGGAAAAGAUUUAUCGGUGUAAGAUGGACCCGCGUCUGAUUAGCUAGUUGGCAGGGUAACGGCCUACCAAGGCAACGAUCAGUAGCCGGCUUGAGAGAGUGAACGGCCACAUUGGGACUGAGACACGGCCCAA
rnacentral:rRNA from 1 species